UACAGGGGGGGCAAGCGUUGUUCGGAAUUACUGGGCGGAAAGGGCUCGUAGGUGGCCAACUAAGUCAGACGUGAAAUCCCUCAGCUUAACUGGGGAACUGCGUCUGAUACUGGAUGGCUUGAGUUUGGGAGAGGGAUGCGGAAUUCCAGGUGUAGCGGUGAAAUGCGUAGAUAUCUGGAGGAACACCGGUGGCGAAGGCGGCAUCCUGGACCAACACUGACACUGAGGAGCGAAAGCCAGGGGAGCAAACGGG
rnacentral:rRNA from 1 species